rfam:Lepisosteus oculatus linkage group LG3, whole genome shotgun sequence.
CUGUAUUCUACAGUGCAUGUGUCUCCAGUGAUCUUAUGCAACUGGAGAUACAGCCCUGUUGGAAUAAC